rnacentral:rRNA from 1 species
AUUGAACGCUGGCGGCAUGCCUUACACAUGCAAGUCGAACGGCAGCACGGGGGCAACCCUGGUGGCGAGUGGCGAACGGGUGAGUAAUAUAUCGGAACGUACCCAAGAGUGGGGGAUAACGUAGCGAAAGUUACGCUAAUACCGCAUACGAUCUAAGGAUGAAAGUGGGGGCUCGCAAGACCUCAUGCUCCUGGAGCGGCCGAUAUCUGAUUAGCUAGUUGGUGAGGUAAAGGCUCACCAAGGCAUCGAUCAGUAGCUGGUCUGAGAGGACGACCAGCCACACUGGAACUGAGACACGGUCCAGACUCCUACGGGAGGCAGCAGUGGGGAAUUUUGGACAAUGGGGCAACCCUGAUCCAGCAAUGCCGCGUGAGUGAAGAAGGCCUUCGGGUUGUAAAGCUCUUUUGUCAGGGAAGAAACGGUGAAGGCUAAUAUCCUUUGCUAAUGACGGUACCUGAAGAAUAAGCACCGGCUAACUACGUGCCAGCAGCCGCAGUAACAC